rnacentral:misc_RNA from 1 species
AGGACGUUGGCUCCAUAGAGCCUCCACCCUCUUUUUCCCCUCUUUGCGCUUCUCCCCGUCCGCCGUUGCCUCUUUCAGUAUCCUGGGAGCCGCUCUCUCAUAGGCCGUCUUACCCUUCUCGUGUUUCUUUCAUGUUGGGUGUGCGCUGGGAGCCUCUCACCAUCCUGCGAGCGCACACUGAUCCGUGCGAGCACUUCUUUUUGUGCACUAGUCUUGCUGCUAUGCCCUUUUGUCUCAGUGGAUGUAUGUGUGUGUGUGUGUGUGUACUUGGACAGGGGUGACAUUGAGCAAGUCGUCUUCAUAGAGUCAACACCCUCCUCGUCGGAGGGACAACAUACACGCAAGCACACAGAUAGAUAGACCUGCACGUACCGCGGCGCUCUCCCACCCACCCCACCCCGUUACGCUUGCAAAGGAUGAUACUGGGUGUCGGCGCAGGUACCUUCGCGGUACUCGUCACCGUUGGUGUGGCCAUACUUAUUGCGCUUGUGGGCUCCUACUUAGCCCCACAGUCAGCCCUGUUCAUCAUUCUCGGCUGCACCGUGCUGCCCUUCAUUGUGUACGGCUGCAUCCUGACAAGUCCGCAUGGCCCUGCCGCCAACACCACCGCGGUAGUGCCUGCGACCUACUACCGAGAACGUCAGCUGCCAUCAAACACAGAUGUCAUUGAUAAGUUCUUGCCGGUGCGCGUUGUCGUAUUCAUUGUGGUGGCCCUUGGCCUGUUUGCCGGCGUCGCCUUUCAUAUCCUUACACUUGUGAACUCGCCGCCGUACAAGGCACCGCGUGUGCACUGUCUCCGGCAGAAAUUGGAGGAGGCGCACCCCACCUGGUACCGGUAGAGUGCAUCGCGCAUCCUCCUUUUCCUGUAAACUUGUUGAACGUUUCUCCCAUUGCGUCUCUCUCUCUGCCGAGAGAUGAGGGCAAGGUCUCGCCGAUGCCUCAGCUCCUGUGACGCAUAUGGAUGCACAUGCCUGCAUGAGUAUGUGUGAUGCUCCAAUCAAUGCACAGCAGUCAACCACCACAACAAGCGUUCAGCUGCUUUCACGCACCGGUGGGUACCCAUCCUCUUCCUGUGUAUCUCUGCCUCUUCAAGGCAUCCGCUGCUCUGCGCUACCUCCAUGCUCUUUCCACUAAUCCAGAUGUUUAAGCUCGUUUUCGCCACAUGCCCUGCUGACGUAGGGAUACCCCUCUCCGUGUGUGGUGUCAGGGCUCAGUACCCCGACUCUGCGUGGGGGGAAGCCAGGCGCCCUCUUGACCCCUGUCGAUGUCAAGCCACCUCUGGUUGUGCCAGCGACAAUCACCCACGCGGUUGAGGAUGCCAGAGCGACGCAUGGCUGCUGAUGUCGGCGGUGGGGUGGUGGACGGCGUUGCGUUGGAGCGGCCUGAGACAGCGAACACGCGUGUGCCAUCCACAUCAUGGGCACAGUGCCAAUGCCACUCCAAUGCAUCUUCACCCCGCCCUGGCACUGCCUGCAGGUGUGGGGCGCCUGAGCCACCUCGAGGGGGAUGCAUCAGGUGGCUGCCGGCACCAUGGGAGCGGCUGUGAGGCGAUCUGACCUGCGAGGCAGGGGGGCGGGUAGAGUGUGAGGCAGAGGCUGUGCUGCGGUGCCCACGUGGGCAUUGCGGUAGCACUUGUCUGCUGCUGCAUGGCACCACGCGAUGGGGACGCUGUGACAAGGCCGGAUAGAGGGGAGCUGGACUCAUAUCCUCUGAUCGAAUGAACUCUUAAGAAACAAUAUAAAAUUU